rnacentral:tRNA from 1 species
UUUGUUGUAUUCUAGUUGGUUAGGAUACUCGGCUCUCACCCGUAAGACCCGGGAGCAAUUCCCCGCAACGGAA